rnacentral:tRNA from 1 species
GGACGCAUAGCUCAGUUGGUUAGAGCGUUCGCUUCACACGCGAGAGGUCUUCGGUUCGAGCCCGAAUGUGUCCACCA